UGCCAGCAGCCGCGGUAACACGUAGGGUGCGAGCGUUAAUCGGAAUUACUGGGCGUAAAGCGUGCGCAGGCGGCUUUUUAAGACAGGUGUGAAAUCCCCGGGCUUAACCUGGGAAUGGCGCUUGUGACUGGAAGGCUAGAGUGCGGCAGAGGGGGGUGGAAUUCCGCGUGUAGCAGUGAAAUGCGUAGAGAUGUGGAGGAACACCGAUGGCGAAGGCAGCCCCCUGGGUCAACACUGACGCUCAGGCACGAAAGCAUGGGGAGCAAACAGGAUUAGAUA
rnacentral:rRNA from 1 species